rnacentral:rRNA from 1 species
GACGAACGCUGGCGGCGUGCUUAACACAUGCAAGUCGAACGGAAAGGCCCUGCUUUUGUGGGGUGCUCGAGUGGCGAACGGGUGAGUAACACGUGAGUAACCUGCCCUUGACUUUGGGAUAACUUCAGGAAACUGGGGCUAAUACCGGAUAGGAGCUCCUGCUGCAUGGUGGGGGUUGGAAAGUUUCGGCGGUUGGGGAUGGACUCGCGGCUUAUCAGCUUGUUGGUGGGGUAGUGGCUUACCAAGCCUUUGACGGGUAGCCGGCCUGAGAGCGUGACCGGCCACAAUGGGACUGAGGUACGGCGCAGACUCCUACGGGAGGCAGCGGGGGGAAACAUUGCACAAUGAGCCGAAGCCUGAUGCAGCAGCCCCGCGUGCGGGAUGACGUCCUUCGGGUUGUAAACCGCUGUGGCCUGUGACGAACCGUGAGUGACGGUAAUGGGUAAAGAAGCACCGGCUAACUACGUG